rnacentral:rRNA from 1 species
UACGUAGGGUGCGAGCGUUGUCCGGAUUUAUUGGGCGUAAAGAGCUCGUAGGCGGUUUGUCGCGUCGGCCGUGAAAUCUCCACGCUUAACGUGGAGCGUGCGGUCGAUACGGGCAGACUUGAGUUCGGUAGGGGAGACUGGAAUUCCUGGUGUAGCGGUGAAAUGCGCAGAUAUCAGGAGGAACACCUGAGGUGAAGACGGGUUGCUGGGCCGACACUGACGCUGACAGCGCGAAAGCUAGGGGAGCGAACGGG